GACGUAGGGCGCGAGCGUUGUCCGGAUUUAUUGGGCGUAAAGAGCUCGUAGGCGGCUUGUCGCGUCGUUCGUGAAAACCCGGGGCUCAACUCCGGGCUUGCGGGCGAUACGGGCAGGCUAGAGUUCGGUAGGGGAGACUGGAAUUCCUGGUGUAGCGGUGAAAUGCGCAGAUAUCAGGAGGAACACCGGUGGCGAAGGCGGGGCUCUGGGCCGAUACUGACGCUGAGGAGCGAAAGCGUGGGGAGCGAACAGG
rnacentral:rRNA from 1 species